rnacentral:rRNA from 1 species
AAGGGAACAGCCCAGAGUGUAUUAAUUAGUAUAAGUAUUAGGAAAAUAGUUUGGAAAGGCUAGCAAUAAAGGGUGAUAGCCCCGUAUCUGAAAAUUCUUAUGCUAUGAACUCAAAGAGUAAGACGGGGCACGUGUUAUCUUGUCUGAAUAAGGGGGGACCAUCCUCCAAGGCUAAAUACUCUUGAUUGACCGAUAGUGAACUAGUACCGUGAGGGAAAGGCGAAAAGAACCCCGAUAAGGGGAGUGAAAUAGAUCCUAAAACCGUGUACGUACAAGCAGUGGGAGCCUUAAGCAAUUAAGGUGACUGCGUACCUUUUGUAUAAUGGGUCAGCGACUUAUAUUCUGUAGCAAGGUUAACCGUAUAGGGGAGCCGUAGGGAAACCGAGUCUUAACUGGGCGAAUUAAGUUGCAGGGUAUAGACCCGAAACCCGGUGAUCUGGCCAUGAGCAGGUUGAAAGUUAGGUAACACUAACUGAAGGACCGAACUGACUAAUGUUGAAAAAUUAGCGGAUGACUUGUGGUUAGGGGUGAAAGACUAAUCAAACCGGGAGAUAGCUGGUUCUCCCCGAAAGCUAUUUAGGUAGCGCCUCGUGAAUUCAUCUUCGGGGGUAGAGCACUGUUUCGACUAGGGGGUCAUCCCGACUUACCAACUCGAUGCAAACUACGAAUACCGAAGAAUGUUAUCACGGGAGACACACGGCGGGUGCUAACGUUCGUCGUGAAAGGGAAACAACCCAGACCGCCAGCUAAGGUCCCCAAGUCAUAAUUAAGUGGGAAACGAAGUGGGAAGGCUUAGACAACCAAGAUAUUGGCUUAAGAAGCAGCCCAUUAUUUAAAGAAAGCGUAAUAGCUCACUGGUCGAGUCGGCCUGCACGGAAGAUGUAACGGGGCUAAAUUAUGCACCGAAGCUGCGGCAGCAAUAUAAAAUGUUGCUGGGUAGGGGAGCGUUCUGUAAGCCUGUGAAGGUUUGCUGUGAAGCAAGCUGGAGGUAUCAGAAGUGCGAAUGCUGACAUAAGUAACGAUAAUGCGGGUGAAAAACCUGCACGCCGAAAGACCAAGGGUUCCUGUCCAACGUUAAUCGGGGCAGGGUAAGUCGACCCCUAAGGCGAGGCAGAAAUGCGUAGUUGAUGGACAACAAGUUAAUAUUCUUGUACUAGUAAUAAUUGCGAUGGGGGGACGAAGAAAGCUAGGCUAGCCAGGGGACGGUUGUCCUGGUUUAAGGAUGUAGGUGAGUGAAUUAGGCAAAUCCGGUUCACUGUGCACUAAGGUCUAAUGACGAGUCACUAUGGUGAUGAAGUGGCUAAUGCUAUGCUUCCAAGAAAAGCCUCUAAGCUCUAAAUUAUUAUUAAUCGUAUCCCAAACCGACACAGGUGGUCAGGUAAAGAAUACUCAGGCGCUUGAGAGAACUCGGGUGAAGGAACUAGGCAAAAUAGUGCCGUAACUUCGGGAGAAGGCACGCUGGUAAUAGGUAAACUCCCUUGCGGAUAUAGCCGAAACCAGUCGCAGAUACCAGCUGGCUGCAACUGUUUAUUAAAAACACAGCACUGUGCAAACACGUAAGUGGACGUAUACGGUGUGACGCCUGCCCGGUGCUGGAAGGUUAAUUGAUGGGGUUAUCUGUAAAGAAAAGCUCUUGAUCGAAGCCCCAGUAAACGGCGGCCGUAACUAUAACGGUCCUAAG